ensembl:snRNA U2 U2 spliceosomal RNA
AUUGCUUCUUGGCCUUUUGGCUAAGAUCAAGUGUAGUAAAAAAUCAUCUCCACAAAAAAGCAAUGUAGUUUUAUUAAUCUCACAUUAAAUUUAGUAGACAUUAA